AUGCUGCCUCCGCUAAAAGUUAGCCCAAACUUGUACUGCUAUGACUGUAAUGGCUAUGCCAUUCUGACCGGUGUAGAUUGUUGCUCCAAAGAUGCGUUAACACCCACGAUGCAGCCAAGCAACCCUUUGUCUUUCUUCAAAGUGGUCAUCAUUGGAUACACCAGUGAUGACUUGAAGUACAAUCUCCAUACGUUCUCGUCUGACAAAUCAAGUUGGGACGAACGUACCAAUUGCUUCGACGGUGAUGCGCAGUCAUACAACUAUGGGUCGUUAACGUUUAGCGAUGCCAUUGUGCACAAUGGCCUGGCACACUGGAUAUUUCAUAAUUAUGGUGAAGAGUCCCUUCAACUCAUUAAUCUGAAUGCUCAGACCAGCCAUAUCUCCUUGACGAAGCCUCCUUUUAAACCAAACUAA
rnacentral:rRNA from 1 species